UCAGGACGAACGCUGGCGGCGUGCCUAACACAUGCAAGUCGAGCGAGGAGAUCCUUCGGGAUGAUCCUAGCGGCGGACGGGUGAGUAACACGUGGGCAACCUGCCUCAUAGAGAGGAAUAGCCUUCCGAAAGGGAGAUUAAUACCUCAUAACAUUGCAGUUUCGCAUGGAACAGCAAUUAAAGGAGUAAUCCGCUAUGAGAUGGGGCCCGCGGCGCAUUAGCUAGUUGGUGAGGUAAUGGCUCACCCAAGGCGACGAUGCGUAGCCGACCUGAGAGGGUGAUCGGCCACAUUGGGACUGAGACACGGCCCAGACUCCUACGGGAGGCAGCAGUGGGGAAUAUUGCACAAUGGGGGAAACCCUGAUGCCAGCAACGCCGCGUGAGUGAUGACGGCCUUCGGGUUGUAAAGCUCUGUCUUCAGGGACGAUAAUGACGGUACCUGAGGAGGAAGCCACGGCUAACUACGUGCCAGCCGCCGC
rnacentral:rRNA from 1 species